rnacentral:tRNA from 1 species
GCAGUCAUGGUUCAAUGGUAGAAUUCUCACCUUCCAUGUGAGAGAUUCAGGUUUGAUUCCCAGCCAGUGCA